CCUACAGCACUUCAUUUCAUUAUAAAUGGCCCGACUAAUGUCCUCCAGUGCUUCUGAUGGACAUGUGCAAUGUUAGUUAGUGUUAAUAUUGGCAACGCCUAGAAAUGUAUUCUACUCAUUUGUAACUACUGUGAAAUUGAUACUGCUGCUUUUUGGAUGACCUAUAAAUGGCAAGUUUCUACAAGGGACAAAUUUGGAAAAUGCUGAGAUGUUGUUGAAAACCAUACCAAAGUACUACUUUUGUUAUAAUAUUCAGCAAAAAAAAAAAAGUAUAACUUGACCCAUUUGCAAUCAGUGUUGAUAAGGCUACUUUUACAAAUAUAAUGGGUUACAGAUUACUAGUUAAAAGGUUAAAAAAUGUAACAUGUAAGUAAUGCAAUUGUUUUAAAGAUUCUUCAGAGUAAUGUAACUUAUUAUUUUGGUUAUUUUUCUAACAAAUAUUAUAAACUGGACAAUAAAGCUGAAAAAUCAUUUAACUUAAACCUAGCAGUGGAGCCCUCACAACGACUAUUAUUGCAUUGUCAUCUGCAGAGAACAUCUGCUGCUCCCCAGCAUCUCCCAGUUCUCCUCUUUUCUGUUCCCCAAGCAACAACAUUCCAAACAAUCCCAUUGUGACAAAGCUGACCCGAUUGUGGAGUGAAUUCACUUGAUUUCGCGUCAAGUUUGCUGGGUGUUACAAUUCCCUCACUUCAGUUAUAGGGUAUUGCACGUGUCACGUGGAUUUUGAACAAUUCAAAGUUGGCGAGGUAACAGAGGUCCUUGCCACACACUCGCAAAGCCCUUGGAAUGUAGUCUCCAUGACUCAUAUUGUGCAAGAAUUGUGAGAGAACCUUGUGAGGGGUUGGAGAGCCAUGAAACUAUAUUGUGAGUGAUUUGAGGAAAAAUAUGACAAUCUGACAUUCUGGGUGUGAGACACACACGAGCUGCCCUGGGAGGCACCAACAGAGUGGAGAUGAUUGGAGAGGAACAGCACUUCUGGAAGUGGCCCAGCGUGUCUGGCAGCCCCACCUGUGCUGGCCGUGGCCUGGCAGUGCAUGCAGUUGCAGUGGGCUUCUGGAAUCCACUCCACGUGAUCUGGACUUAUACUUUAAAUUCUUUUUC